rnacentral:rRNA from 1 species
UUCGCAAUGCCCGAAAGGGUGACGAUGCGACGCCGCGUGAGCGAAGAAGGCCCUAGGGUUGUAAAGCUCUGUCGAGGGUUAUGAAAUAUAGAUGGGUUAAUACCCCAUUUAUUUGACAAAAGCCCAAAAGGAAGCCACGGCUAACUCUGUGCCAGCAGCCGCGGUAAUACAGAGGUGGCGAGCGUUGUUCGGUAUUAUUGGGCGUAAAGAGCACGUAGGUGGUUUUGUAAGUCAGGUGUGAAGGCCUUCUGUUCAAAGGAAGAACGGCAUCUGAAACUGCAGAUCUUGAGUGUAGGAGGGGAGAGUGGAACUUCUGGUGGAGCGGUGAAAUGCGUAGAUAUCAGAAGGAACGUCGGCGGCGAAAGCGACUCUCUGGCCUAUUACUGACACUGAGUGUGCGAAAGUUAGGGGAGCAAACGGGAUUAGAUACCCCGGUAGUCCUAACCGUAAACGAUGGGCACUAAGUAGAGGGGUUUU